CGAACGCUGGCGGCAGGCCUAACACAUGCAAGUCGAACGCCCUAGCAAUAGGGAGUGGCAGACGGGUGAGUAACACGUGGGAACCUUCCCUAUAGUACGGAAUAGCUCAGGGAAACUUGAAGUAAUACUGUAUACGCCCGAGAGGGGAAAGAUUUAUCGCUAUAGGAUGGGCCCGCGUCGGAUUAGCUAGUUGGUGAGGUAAUGGCUCACCAAGGCGACGAUCCGUAGCUGGUUUGAGAGAACGACCAGCCACACUGGGACUGAGACACGGCCCAGACUCCUACGGGAGGCAGCAGUGGGGAAUAUUGGACAAUGGGCGCAAGCCUGAUCCAGCCAUGCCGCGUGAGUGAUGAAGGCCUUAGGGUUGUAAAGCUCUUUUAGCAGGGAAGAUAAUGACUGUACCUGCAGAAUAAGCUCCGGCUAACUUCGUG
rnacentral:rRNA from 1 species